ACUCCUACGGGAGGCAGCAGUGGGGAAUAUUGCACAAUGGGAAGCCAUCGAUGCAGCCAUGCCGCGCUGUGUGAAGAAGGCCAAUUCGGGCUUGGUUAAAGACACAUUUUCAGUAGGGAGGAAGGUAGUGUAGUUAACACCUGCACUAUUUGACGUUACCUACAGAAGAAGCACCGGCUAACUCCGUGCCAGCAGCCGCGGUAAUACGGAGGGUGCGAGCGUUAAUCGGAAUUACUGGGCGUAAAGCGCAUGCAGGCGGCCUGUUAAGUCAGAUGUGAAAGCCCGGGCUU
rnacentral:rRNA from 1 species